AAACCUCUCAGCAGAAUUUAUUUUUUGUUGGUCAUGGGUCGCGGAGGACUAGCCUAACAGCUGCUCCCGCCUUAAAAUUGCUGCACGACCUCAAGCUAUUGCUAGGUUAAUGGAGUGGUGUUUACAUUAUAUUCCAGCGAUUUACUGCAAUACUUGGUGGCGUUAAACCCGAAUGUUUGCGCAAGUAGACUUCAGAA
rnacentral:misc_RNA from 1 species